ensembl:lncRNA
UUUUUUUAAGCGUGACUAAUUGUGUUAUGUAGUUUGUUUGAUUUAUUUGCUGGGCGAGAAGGGAAUACAUGGAAAAGAGACUGCCUUUGGCAACAAGAUGUCAGGGCCAUAUGGAAACGGGAAUUGUGCGUUUUAGAGAAUCAGUCAUUGAAUGUCUAUGGCUGACUGACCAUCUGGAAUUGCAAGUCCUAGACUUUGGCACUUCUGAGCAGUCACUUAGCCAAAGCCAUAAAAUGACUGAUUCCCUAAAAUUAAGAUUUAGUGUUUCCUUAUGGCCAUGGGGAGGCAACUCCGAUACUGGUGGGAUUAAACAUUUUCAGUUUUCAUUCUCUCCUAAUCCCAAACCUUUUCAUGUGGUGCAGAUAGACUAGGUAAUCAUUUAGUUGGAUGGUUUUGGGGUGGAAGCAAUUUAGUAUUGUUACGUGGAGGUAGAAGCUGUAGCAGGUUCAUGUCUAACAGCCUUAUGUAUUGGGUGUAGAAGCUGUACAGGUUCACGUCUAACAGCCUUAUGUAUUGGGUGUAGAAGCUGUACAGGAUCACGUCUAACAGCCUUAUGUAUUGGGUGUAGAAGCUGUACAGGAUCACGUCUAACAGCCUUAUGUAUUGGGUGUAGAAGCUGUACAGGUUCAUGUCUAACAGUCUUAUGUAUUGGGUGUAGAAGCUGUACAGGUUCAUGUCUAACAGCCUUAUGUAUUGGGUGUAGAAGCUGUACAGGUUCAUGUCUAACAGUCUUAUGUAUUGGGUGUAGAAGCUGUACAGGUUCAUG